CCCGGCUGCAUGUGCAGAGGUGUACUCUGCAGCGGGGCUAGAGCACAGCUGUGCCACGUGGCCUCCUUUUGGGGCUAUUUGUGUCCAGGGUUCUGAGGGGGCAAAGGCCGCUUGUGCUGUUGAAGGAGCAGGCUGGAGUCACAUGCUGUUGACAGCUCCUCUCCUGGGUUGCUGUGAGAAUAAACUGAGGGACAGCCUGGAGUUAUUCCACAUGGCCAGAGGUGCACUAAGGCACAUUUCUGAGGUGUCCCACUCGCAGGCCUGUGAGAAGGAUCACUCUAUGAAAGUUUCACCCGGUUGUGGUCACACCUCACAAUGACCUUGGCACUGCGCCCUGCCUGCCUGGAACUCCUCUUGGCUGCCUCCCAGACACAGAGUGAAGAGCUGUGGUCAUUGGGAGGCCCUGGUCUCUUCCUUCCAUUUCCUUGGCCAUGUGCGUAAACCAUCAGUUUGUAUCAUUCAUCUUGUAAUUGAAACUCCCUUGGGUUAAAUUCACAGACAGGCUCCGAGCCUCCCUCAACAGGACAUUCUUUCAGAUCCUUUGAAAGAACAGGUGAGUCUCCUUGAUCUCUAAGUCUUGUAUCAUUGCAGAGGUUCUUUGAUCCUCAAAGCUGUUUUCAGACGGCCAGCUGGGGACUGGAGGGCAGAUGCUGGAGCCCCUGACACCUUCCUGGGACAGGUGGGCCUCUAAGGGAG
ensembl:lncRNA